rnacentral:rRNA from 1 species
GGGAUUGCCUCAGUAACGGCGAGUGAAGCGGCAACAGCUCAAAUUUGAAAUCUGGCCCCUUCGGGGUCCGAGUUGUAAUUUGUAGAGAGUGCUUCGGGUGAGACUGCGGUCUAAGUCCAUUGGAACAUGGCGUCAUAGAGGGUGAGAAUCCCGUAUGUGACCGUGGCUCGAGCCCAUGUGAAGCCUCUUCGACGAGUCGAGUUGUUUGGGAAUGCAGCUCAAAAUGGGUGGUAUAUUUCAUCUAAAGCUAAAUACUGGCUGGAGACCGAUAGCGCACAAGUAGAGUGAUCGAAAGAUGAAAAGCACUUUGGAAAGAGAGUCAAACAGUACGUGAAAUUGUUGAAAGGGAAGCGCUUGCAACCAGACCCGCCCGUAGGCGAUCAGCCGCUGUUCUCAGUGGUGCACUCGCUCUGCGAUCAGGCCAGCAUCGGUUCUGGCGGCCGGAUAAAGGCCUUGGGAAUGUAGCUCCCUCCGGGGAGUCUUAUAGCCCUCGGUGCAAUGCGGCCAGCCGGGACCGAGGACCGCGCUUCGGCUAGGAUGCUGGCGUAAUGGUUGUAAGCGACCCGUCUUGAAACACGGACCAAGGAGUCUAACAUCUAUGCGAGUGUUUGGGUGUCAAACCCAUGCGCGGAAUGAAAGUGAACGGAGGUGAGAACCCUUAAGGGCGCAUCAUCGACCGAUCCAGAUGUCUUCGGAUGGAUUUGAGUAUGAGCAUAGCUAUUGGGACCCGAAAGAUGAUGAACUAUGCCUGAAUAGGGUGAAGCCAGAGGAAACUCUGGUGGAGG